rnacentral:rRNA from 1 species
GACGAACGCUGGCGGUGUGCUUAACACAUGCAAGUCGAACGGUAAGGCCCUUUCGGGGGUACACGAGUGGCGAACGGGUGAGUAACACGUGAGUAACCUGCCCUCAUCUCUGGGAUAACAGUCGGAAACGGUUGCUAAUACUGGAUAUGAGCUUGCAAGGCAUCUUGGGGGUUGGAAAGAUUUUUUUGGUUGGGGAUGGACUCGCGGCCUAUCAGCUUGUUGGUGAGGUAGUGGCUCACCAAGGCUUCGACGGGUAGCCGGCCUGAGAGGGGGACCGGCCACAUUGGGACUGAGAUACGGCCCAAACUCCUACGGGAGGCAGCAGUGGGGAAUAUUGCACAAUGGACGGAAGUCUGAUGCAGCAACGCCGCGUGCGGGAUGACGGCCUUCGGGUUGGAAACCGCUUUCAAUUGUGACGAAGCUUUUUGUGACGGUAGCAGUAGAAGAAGCACCGGCUAACUACGUG